GACGAACGCUGGCGGCGUGCUUAACACAUGCAAGUCGAACGGAAAGGCCCUGCUUUUGUGGGGUGCUCGAGUGGCGAACGGGUGAGUAACACGUGAGUAACCUGCCCUUGACUUUGGGAUAACUUCAGGAAACUGGGGCUAAUACCGGAUAGGAGCUCCUGCUGCAUGGUGGGGGUUGGAAAGUUUCGGCGGUUGGGGAUGGACUCGCGGCUUAUCAGCUUGUUGGUGGGGUAGUGGCUUACCAAGGCUUUGACGGGUAGCCGGCCUGAGAGGGUGACCGGCCACAUUGGGUCUGAGAUACGGCCCAGGCUCCGACGGGAGGCAGCAGUGGGGAAUAUUGCACAAUGGGCGGAAGCCUGAUGCAGCAACGCCGCGUGCGGGAUGACGGCCUUCGGGUUGUAAACCGCUUUCGCCUGUGACGAAGCGUGAGUGACGGUAAUGGGUAAAGAAGCACCGGCUAACUACGUG
rnacentral:rRNA from 1 species